rnacentral:rRNA from 1 species
UGUAGGGGGGGGGCCUCGGGCGCACCCAGAAACCCUUUGUGAACUUAUACCUUACUGUUGCCUCGGCGCAGGCCGGCCUCUACUGCUGAGGCCCCCCGGAGACGGGGAGCAGCCCGCCGGCGGCCAACCAAACUCUUGUUUCUACAGUGAAUCUCUGAGUAAAAAACAUAAAUGAAUCAAAACUUUCAACAACGGAUCUCUUGGUUCUGGCAUCGAUGAAGAACGCAGCGAAAUGCGAUAAGUAAUGUGAAUUGCAGAAUUCAGUGAAUCAUCGAAUCUUUGAACGCACAUUGCGCCCUCUGGUAUUCCGGAGGGCAUGCCUGUUCGAGCGUCAUUUCAACCCUCAAGCCUGGCUUGGUGUUGGGGCACUGCCUGUAAAAGGGCAGGCCCUGAAAUCUAGUGGCGAGCUCGCUAGGACCCCGAGCGUAGUAGUUAUAUCUCGUUCUGGAAGGCCCUGGCGGUGCCCUGCCGUUAAACCCCCAACUUCUGAAAUUUUGACCUCGGAUCAGGUAGGAAUACCCGCUGAACUUAAGCAUAUCAUUAAGCGGAGGAAGGAUCUUUGUUGGAACGCGCCCCGCGCACCAAAAACCCUUUGGGAAUU